GCCAGCUACUUCCGCUUCUGUGUCAAGCCAAGGCUACACAGUAAAUUCUUGUCCAUCUUUCUGGACUUGUAGAUACAUUCAGCCUGCUCACGCCACUCAGGCUGAUUUCUUCCCGACUCCAUCCGCGUCUGACUCGCAAGAGAUUAAACAAAGCAUGAUUGCACAAACGAUUAUCAGCCUGACCUUCAUGAAGCUUGAUGGAGCGGUGGUGCGUGGGCAGAGGAAAGACCCAUUGAAUUUUGGUGGAUCUUUUUAAAAGAGCAAAAUAGGGCAAUGGCUCUGGUGGAGUUAUGCCUGCCGUAUGCUCAUGUAGUUGAGUUCUGUGGCUAAAUUUAAGGGAACAGGAAGGAGAUGUUGCAAGGCAUGUCCCAAAAGUUAGGUUUCAACACUGCUGAAAGGAAUGUUGCAGCAAUGGGACGGUCAGCAAAUGCAAAAUCAGUAGUCAUAUUUGGAGAGCAGGGAGGAGUCUUGGUGUAGGCAUGUUUUCAGUGUGAUUUGUGUGUUAGCAACUACUAAGUUGCUUCUACUAAGCUGAAUUUGAAUAAAUAUAUUUAAGUAGAGCAUGGGUGAAGACCCAUGAAAUUUUUAG
ensembl:lncRNA